rnacentral:rRNA from 1 species
GAAUGCCCGUUGAUAUACUCGGCAGUGAGGCGUGGGGUGCUAAGGUCCCAUGCCGAGAGGGAAAGAACCCAGACCAUCCGCUAAGGUCCCUAAAUUCGGACUAAGUUGAACAAAGGAGGUCCACUUGCUUUGACAGCCAGGAGGUUGGCUUGGAAGCAGCCAUUCCUUUAAAGAGUGCGUAACAGCUCACUGGUCGAGCGGGGCGGGCAUCGAUAAUAAACGGGCAUCAAGCAUAUUACCGAAGCUAUGCGAUAGUAUUUAUACUGAUCGGUAGGGGAGCAUUCUCACAGGGGUGAAGGUGUGGCGUGAGCUGCGCUGGACUGGUGAGAAAAGCAAAUGUAGGCAUAAGUAACGAUAAUGCGGAUGAGAAAUCCGCACACCGAAAGACUAAGGAUUCCUCCGCUAUGCUAAUCAACGGAGGGUUAGGCGGGGCCUAAGGUAUAGCCGACAGGUGAACACCGAUGGACAGCAGGUUAAUAUUCCUGCCCUUGCUGUAAGUGUGAAGAAGUGACGGAGUAACAUGGCUUGUACGUACUGACGGAAUAGUGCGUUGAGCGGCGCCUACGGGCAAAGCAAACAGGCGAAGAUACUUCCAAGAAAAGCUUUUGAAACGCCAGCUUAUAGCAACCCGUACCGUAAACCGACACAGGUAGUCGAGAAGAAUAUUCUAAGGUGCUCGAGUGAAUCACGGCUAAGGAACUCGGCAAAUUAACCCUGUAACUUCGGGAGAAGGGGAGCCUCCUCUGCAAAGAGAGGCCGCAGAGAAAUGGCCCAGGCGACUGUUUAGCAAAAACACAGGGCUCUGCCAAAUCGAAAGAUGACGUAUAGGGCCUGACACCUGCCCGGUGCUGGAAGGUUAAGAGGGGAGCUUAGUCGCAAGGCGAAGGCUUGAAUCGAAGCCCCAGUAAACGGCGGCCGUAACUAUAACGGUCCUAAGGUAGCGAAAUUCCUUGUCGGGUAAGUUCCGACCUGCACGAAUGGUGUAACGAUUUGGGUGCUGUCUCAGCCGUGAGCUCGGUGAAAUUGUAGUCUCGGUGAAGAUGCCGAGUACCCGCCACGGGACGGAAAGACCCCGUGCACCUUUACUAUAGGUUGCCAUUGGUGGUGGGUUCAGUAUGUGUAGCAUAGGCGGGAGGCGUCGAAGCAGGGCCGCUAGGUCUUGUGGAGCCAACGUUGAAAUACCGCCCUUACUGUGCCUGCUGCCUAACUCUAAGUUUCUUAGAGAACAGUGGCUGCUGGGUAGUUUGACUGGGGUGGUCGCCUCCAAAAGAGUAUCGGAGGCUUUCAAAGGUCCACUCAAUCCGCUUGGUAACCGGAUGUAGAGCGCAAUAGUAGAAGUGGGCUUGACUGUGAGACUGACUAGUCGAGCAGGGUCGAAAGACGGAUAUAGUGAUCCGGUGGUUCCGUAUGGAAGGGCCAUCGCUCAAAGGAUAAAAGGUACGCCGGGAUAACAGGCUGAUCUCCCCCAAGAGCUCAUAUCGACGGGGAGGUUUGGCACCUCGAUGUCGGCUCGUCACGUCCUGGGGCUGGAGAAGGUCCCAAGGGUUCGGCUGUUCGCCGAUUAAAGUGGCACGCGAGCUGGGUUCAGAACGUCGUGAGACAGUUCGGUCCCUAUCUGUGGUGGGCGUAGGAAGAUUGACGGGGGCUGACCUUAGUACGAGAGGACCGGGUUGGACCCACCGCUGGUGAGCCGGUUGUUACGC